GAUGAACGCUGGCGGCGUGCCUAAUACAUGCAAGUCGAGCGAACAGACGAGGAGCUUGCUCCUUUGACGUUAGCGGCGGACGGGUGAGUAACACGUGGAUAACCUACCUAUAAGACUGGGAUAACUUCGGGAAACCGGAGCUAAUACCGGAUAACAUGUUGAACCGCAUGGUUCAACAGUGAAAGACGGUCUUGCUGUCACUUAUAGAUGGAUCCGCGCCUCAUUAGCUAGUUGGUAAGGUAACGGCUUACCAAGGCAACGAUGCGUAGCCGACCUGAGAGGGUGAUCGGCUACACUGGAACUGAGACACGGUCCAGACUCCUACGGUAGGCAGCAGUAGGGAAUCUUCCGCAAAGGGGGAAAGCCUGACGGAGCAACGCCGCGUGAGUGAAGAAGGUCUUCUGAUCGUAAAACUCUGUUAUUAGGGAAGAACAAAUGUGUAAGUAACUAUGCACGUCUUGACGGUACCUAAUCAGAAAGCCACGGCUAACUACGUG
rnacentral:rRNA from 1 species